ensembl:lncRNA
AGCACAUGAAGGUCUCACACAGGUGAGCUGCUUGAAAACUGUUCUUGCUGUCAAUCUGAUAAGAAAGAACUAUGUUAGGCAAAAUCUCACAAGCUACCUUUGGGAAAAACAAGUUACCUCUGGUUUCUGUCUCAGUGAUUUCAAACUUGUGAAAAUGAUGGGUGCUGUUCCUGAAGCCAGCUGGUGGAACAGAAAGCCACCUCUGAAUGAGAGCUAGGAGGCACUUGUACAACACCUUGGUGGUUGCCGCACCGAGGGCUUGCAGCUUCUUGGUCAAGUCUGGGGCUUCCUCCACACCCCCGUGGAAGAGGAGUCUUCCUUAUCUUCCUUGGAGUGAAACAUGAGUGGUGAGAUGCUCUCAUGGUGAGAGUGUGCCCUGCCAACACUUCACAGUCAGAAGGCAGUGGUUGAGCAGUGUUCUGGAGCUAUUGGUCCUAUGGGGUUAUAGAGGCAGUCAUAGAUUCAUAAAAUCAUCAAGGUUGGAAAAGACCUGCAAGAUCACAACUCUUCUUCCUGCUUCUGGAAAAAAAACAGAACCAAAACCAAAAGAAACAAUAAUACUAAGGCAUAUGUUAUCUGUUGACACGAUGGAAAACUGAGUUAGUCUAACGUCUUUGGAGAGCACAACAAAUGUGUGGUUUCACUGCCGCUUUCAUUUAUACUUGUCAAAACUCACAGCACAAUAUGGUACAUUUUCACCCUCUUUUCACUGGAAAUUGCUUUCAGAGUGACUCAUUUGUUAUUUGUGUUUUCUAUGGUUCCAGAGACAUCCCACGUUUCAGUAGCUCUGCUUUGGUCUCCUCUGUGCCUUAGUCACUGGGCUCUAGGUAUUGUCUUCGAACUGUUAAAUUUAAAGCUGUGUUGGCUGUAAGAAGUCCAUUCAUUAUCUUGUGUACCCAAUAGUCAGACCUGAAACUGGAGCAUUUCACUUGAAUAAGAGCUGCUGUGGAGUAGAGCUGCUGUCUGACCUUGGGAACUGCUUAUAAAGGUGCAACGUUUUGCUCUCAACAAUACUGAAUAUGGACACCUUCCAGUUUUCCUGGAAAAUGUGAUGUUCUCAGGCUCCAGGAUGAAUGAGUGCCUCGGGGAGCUGAGAAAUGAGACAACACAGUGAGAAGAGGACAGUGAGUGCAGACACUGCCAGUACCGAACCUUUGGAAUUCACUGCUGCACGACGGAUAGCCAACGACUCGUGGUGAUGUGCUCUAGCAGAAGGAAAAUCAAAGUGCCCUUUUAUAACUGUUCAGAUAUAAAGUGAAGGGCAUCCAGCCCCCUGACACCAGCAUGGAGAAUGAUGUGUGGGAGGGACUGUGGGAAAUGACCUCACCAUGCACGGCCAUGCCCACUGGCCGUGUUUCCAUCACACAGGGCACAGAGCAAGUGGGCAGUGCCCAGGGAGAGGACACAUCUCUUUUGGGCAGAUGGGUCCCAUUAGGGUUCUUUAAAGGCAGCAAUGGCACCAUUCUGCAGAGGUGUGCUCCUAGCAAGGAAGGCACUGUUUUAAAGCCCACCAGGCUGGUGCUCUCUGUGUUUAAGUCCACUCAGAGCAUGGAAGGAGGGCUGGAAGAAAACCAAUAAUUACUCUCAGAUAAAAUUAGUUUUACAAAGUGAUUUUCUUCUAGAAUCUUGGAUUCACACACGGGCUGCCUGUACUGUAGAUAUACCUGCAUUCUGAUAGCUCUAUUUCCAGUGUUCCUGCAUUUCUGACUGCUGUUGGCAAGAAGCUGUAGAUUGUUUCUCACACAGUUUUCUUAUGCAGUCUUUAGUGUCUCCUCCAAUCCUGGAUGUCCUUUAAACAUUGCACCUUUAAGGUACUGCUACUGCAGGGGCCACAGCAGGAGGCAUUACUGCACAAACCAGAUGAGUAUGGGGGAUUUAGGUGGAGUUACUCCAAUUAAACCACUGGAGAAUGCCCUGCUCUAGGAAUGGCAACUGCCCUAUUAAAGCAAGCUGGGUGUGUGCAUCCCAGCAGCUGUGCAGGAGCACAGCACAGUGGGGCAGCACUGCUGCCGUGUCUCCUCUCAUCAGCUGCUGGGGCUAAUUGCAGGGGCUCUCUGCAGACCUCUCAGCUUGUGUGGCCUGGAAAAUCCCAGGGACAAUCUUCAGGCAGUGCACAGGUGGGGUAACCCAUGGAGCCUGCAAUGCCAAAGCAGAGAGUUUGGGGAAUGGUGGCAGAAAAGCUUUUCUUCCAGGUGGAGUUAAUCCUCUGCAUGCUGACACCCCUGGGGGAGGGAGCAGGCAGGCAGGGUUGGAGAAAAUUUGGGAGACUGCUGUUUCAACUUUGAGCAGCUUAAACACAAACCCUACAGCACCAAGGGAUCGCAGCUCCAAAUGCCUGAAAAUGGGCUUCCCAAAGGCUGGCACACAGAGCAGAACUGCCUGACCCAACUGCAAGGAAACUCUGAGGAAGGGACCAUCUUGACCCGGCUGUCCCGCAGCAGGCAGCUUCCUUUCCCAGGGCUGUGGGGAUGCUAGUUAUUACCCUGGUGUUUUUAAAAAUAGGAUUGAUGUAGCUGCAAGUUUUCAUGAAAAAUAAAGAGAAAUAAAGGAAUGAAGAACGAAAGAGAAGAUAGAAAAAGGGGAAGAAAGGAAGGAAGGAAGAAAAGAAAGAAAAAGAAAUGAAGAAAGAAACGAAACAAAUGAAGAAAGAAGGAAAAAAAGGAAAGGAGGGAAGGGAAAGGAAGGGAAAGAAAGAAACGAAGAAAGGAAAGAAAAAGAAAGGAAGGAAAGAAAGAAAAAGAAAUGAAGAAAGAAGAGAAAGAAAUGAAAAGUGAAAAGAAAGAAGUGAAAAAGAAAUUUAAAAAAAAUGAAGAAAAGGACAGGAGAAAGAAGGAAGGAAGGGAGGAAGAAGAAGGGAAGAAAGGAAGGAAGGAAGUAUGAAAGGAAGAAACAAAGGAAGAAAAAAAUAGGAAAUAAAGUAGGAAAGAAAGGAAGAGGGAAAGAAAGUAAGGAAGAAGGGAAGAAGGAAAAAGAAAGAAAAGAAAGAAGGGAAAAAAAGAAAGAAAGAAGAAGGGAAGAAAGAAAGAAGGAGUGCGAAGGGCCGUGGCACAGCGGUGCCGUCGCGGAGCGGCGCGGAGCAGCGCGCAGCCCCAGCGCUGUGCCCUCGGCAGGUGGCGGCAGAGCGCGGCCGUGG